rnacentral:rRNA from 1 species
UCCCAAACCCCUGUGAACAUACCUAUACGUUGCCUCGGCUGGCGGCACUCCCAACCCCUGUGACAUACCUAUACGUUGCCUCGGCGGAUCAGCCCGCGCCCCGUAAAACGGGACGGCCCGCCCGAGGACCCCUAAACUCUGUUUUUAGUGGAACUUCUGAGUAAAACAAACAAAUAAAUCAAAACUUUCAACAACGGAUCUCUUGGUUCUGGCAUCGAUGAAGAACGCAGCAAAAUGCGAUAAGUAAUGUGAAUUGCAGAAUUCAGUGAAUCAUCGAAUCUUUGAACGCACAUUGCGCCCGCCAGUAUUCUGGCGGGCAUGCCUGUUCGAGCGUCAUUUCAACCCUCAAGCUCAGCUUGGUGUUGGGACUCGCGGUAACCCGCGUUCCCCAAAUCGAUUGGCGGUCACGUCGAGCUUCCAUAGCGUAGUAAUCAUACACCUCGUUACUGGUAAUCGUCGCGGCCACGCCGUAAAACCCCAACUUCUGAAUGUUGACCUCGGAUCAGGUAGGAAUACCCGCUGAACUUAAGCAUAU